rnacentral:misc_RNA from 1 species
GUGAAUCAUCAAAUUUUUGAACGCAAAUUGCACUUUCUGGUAUUCCGGAAAGUAUGCCUGUUUGAGGGUCAGUUAAAUAAACAUCGGUGUUGUUGCUGCUUUUCGUGGAGACGUGCUGGAAUCGAGUUGUCUUACCUUCGUUUAAGUGACUUAAAAUUUUGCAUGAUUUUCGAACGUCUUUAAAUCGCUUACGUACGUUUGAGAUAUCGAAUGCUUAUUAGGUCCGGUCAUUCCCAUGAUUCGCGCCUAUAAUUUUUCAUUAAAUGACCUCAAAUCCGGUAAGAAUACCCGCUGAACUUAA